GACGAACGCUGGCGGCGUGCUUAACACAUGCGAGUCGAACGGAAAGGCCCUGCUUUUGUGGGGUGCUCGAGUGGCGAACGGGUGAGUAACACGUGAGUAACCUGCCCUUGACUUUGGGAUAACUUCAGGAAACUGGGGCUAAUACCGGAUAGGAGCUCCUGCUGCAUGGUGGGGGUUGGAAAGUUUCGGCGGUCGGGGAUGGACUCGCGGCUUAUCAGCUUGUUGGUGGGGUAGUGGCUUACCAAGGCUUUGACGGGUAGCCGGCCUGAGAGGGUGACCGGCCACAUUGGGACUGAGAUACGGCCCAGACUCCUACGGGAGGCAGCAGUGGGGAAUAUAGCACAAUGGGCGGAAGCCUGAUGCAGCAACGCCGCGUGCGGGAUGACGGCCUUCGGGUUGUAAACCGCUUUCGCCUGUGACGAAGCGUGAGUGACGGUAAUGGGUAAAGAAGCACCGGCUAACUACGUG
rnacentral:rRNA from 1 species